UACGUAGGGUGCAAGCGUUAAUCGGAAUUACUGGGCGUAAAGCGUGCGCAGGCGGUUGUGCAAGACAGGUGUGAAAUCCCCGGGCUCAACCUGGGAACUGCAUCCGAAACUGCCUUGCUAGAGUAUGGGAGAGGGAAGUGGAAUUUCCGGUGUAGCGGUGAAAUGCGUAGAUAUCGGAAGGAACAUCAGUGGCGAAGGCGACUUCCUGGACCAAUACUGACGCUCAGGUGCGAAAGCGUGGGGAGCAAACAGG
rnacentral:rRNA from 1 species